AGCUUGGGACAAAUGAACUUCUCAUCGAUGAAGAUGAAGACACUCCAAUCGCCUCCGGACCCGCCACAGUGUCAGUGACUGCCCAAGCAGACGGUCUGAACUCCACCUACUCAGUGCUGAAACUACCGAAAGAUGAACUUCACAUCGAUGCUCAUGAAGAUCCUCCCAUUGCCUCGGGACCCGCCGAAUUGUCAGUGGCUGCACAGUCAGGUGCGCAGAAACAGGAGCCGAAGCAGAACAUCGGAAAUGGAUACGGCCGUAAGAUCUCCGUACUCUGCCUCGUUACGAUCGGC